rnacentral:rRNA from 1 species
AGAGUUUGAUCCUGGCUCAGGACGAACGCUGGCGGCAUGCCUAACACAUGCAAGUCGAACGGAGUUUAAUUGACAGAAGCCUUCGGGCAGAAGACGAUUAAACUUAGUGGCGGACGGGUGAGUAACGCGUGGAUAACCUGCCUUAUAGAGGGGGACAACAGUUGGAAACGACUGCUAAUACCGCAUAAGGUCUCGAGACCGCAUGAUCUUGAGAAGAAAGAUGGCCUCUGAAAAUGCUAUCGCUAUAAGAUGGAUCCGCGUCUGAUUAGCUAGUUGGUGAGGUAACGGCUCACCAAGGCAACGAUCAGUAGCCGGCCUGAGAGGGUGAACGGCCACAUUGGGACUGAGACACGGCCCAAACUCCUACGGGAGGCAGCAGUGGGGAAUCUUCCGCAAUGGGCGAAAGCCUGACGGAGCAAUGCCGCGUGAAUGAAGAAGGCCUUCGGGUCGUAAAAUUCUGUCCUUAUUGAAGAGAGGUUCAUGUGUAAACAAUGCAUGAAUAGGACGGUAGAUAAGGAGGAAGCCCCGGCUAACUACGUGCCAGCAGCCGCGGUAAUACGUAGGGGGCGAGCGUUGUCCGGAAUCACUGGGCGUAAAGGGCGCGUAGGCGGCCUAGUAAGUCAGAUGUGAAAAGUGAGGGCUCAACCCUUAGAGUGCAUCUGAUACUGCUAGGCUUGAGUACAGAAGAGGAAAGCGGAAUUCCUAGUGUAGCGGUGAAAUGCGUAGAUAUUAGGAGGAACACCAGUGGCGAAGGCGGCUUUCUGGGCUGAAACUGACGCUGAGGCGCGAAAGCGUGGGGAGCAAACAGGAUUAGAUACCCUGGUAGUCCACGCCGUAAACGAUGGGUACUAGGUGUCGGGGGUAUCGAUACCCUCGGUGCCGGAGUAAACACAAUAAGUACCCCGCCUGGGGAGUACGAUCGCAAGAUUGAAACUCAAAGGAAUUGACGGGGGCCCGCACAAGCGGUGGAGCAUGUGGUUUAAUUCGACGCAACGCGAAGAACCUUACCAAGACUUGACAUCCUGCUGACGGAUUGGGUAAUGCCGAUCGUUCUACUUCGGUAGACAGCAGAGACAGGUGGUGCAUGGUUGUCGUCAGCUCGUGUCGUGAGAUGUUGGGUAAGUCCCGCAACGAGCGCAACCCUUGUCUUUAGUUGCCAGCAUUAAGUUGGGCACUCUAAAGAGACUGCCGGUGACAAACCGGAGGAAGGUGGGGAUGACGUCAAAUCAUCAUGCCCCUUAUGUCUUGGGCUACACACGUGCUACAAUGGUCGGUACAAAGGGCAGCGAGACCGCGAGGUGGAGCGAAUCCCAAAAAGCCGAUCCCAGUUCGGAUUGCAGGCUGCAACCCGCCUGCAUGAAGUCGGAAUCGCUAGUAAUCGCAGGUCAGCAUACUGCGGUGAAUACGUUCCCGGGCCUUGUACACACCGCCCGUCACACCACGAAAGUUGGUAACACCCGAAGCCGGUGGUCUAACCGCAAGGAGGAAGCUGUCGAAGGUGGGACUAAUGAUUGGGGUGAAGUCGUAACAAGGUA